GAUGAACGCUGGCGGCGUGCUUAACACAUGCAAGUCGAACGAAGCACCUCUCCCGAAGAUUGACACAGCUUGCUGUAGAUUGAUUCAUUUGAGGUGACUGAGUGGCGGACGGGUGAGUAACGCGUGGGUAACCUGCCUCAUAGAGGGGGACAACAGUUGGAAACGACUGCUAAUACCGCAUAGUAAGAAGAAUUCGCAUGUUUUCUUCUUGAAAGAUUUAUCGCUAUGAGAUGGACCCGCGUCUGAUUAGCUAGUUGGUAAGGUAACGGCUUACCAAGGCGACGAUCAGUAGCCGGCAUGAGAGAGUGAACGGCCACAUUGGGACUGAGACACGGCACAAACUCCUACGGGAGGCAGCAGUGGGGAAUAUUGCACAAUGGGGGAAACCCUGAUGCAGCGACGCCGCGUGAGUGAAGAAGUAUUUCGGUAUGUAAAGCUCUAUCAGAAGGGAAGAUAAUGACGGUACCUGACUAAGAAGCCCCGGCUAACUACGUG
rnacentral:rRNA from 1 species